rnacentral:rRNA from 1 species
UACGUAGGUGACAAGCGUUGUCCGGAUUUACUGGGCGUAAAGGGCUCGUAGGCGGCCAACUAAGUCAGACGUGAAAUCCCUCAGCUUAACCGGGGAACUGCGUCCGAUACUGGAUGACUUGAGUUCGGGAGAGGGAUGCGGAAUUCCAGGUGUAGCGGUGAAAUGCGUAGAUAUCUGGAGGAACACCGGUGGCGAAGGCGGCAUCCUGGACCAGUACUACGACGCUGAGGAGCGAAAGCCAGGGGAGCAAACGGG